GUAAUGCACUCUUGGGUGAGGGUGAAGCAGGGAGAAAUAGGCUUGAAUUGCGACAGUGGACUUUUGCUGUUCUUUGCUGGUUUUGCCUGUACCUCCUAUUCCAAGGUAAGAGACCAUUUUUUAAAUCUGGAAAGAUUACCCGUUUAGACAGAUUAACAGACAAUCUGGAAAUGUUUCUUUGCUCCAUGCAUGUUUUUGUGCACACUUCCAGAAACUGAUGGGCAGUCGACCAAGACAAAUCACUGUGAAAGUGAUGCAGCUCUCUGGUGCUAUCUGGUUGCAACAGCCACCUAUGUCAUUAACAGAAAGAAGGGGAACCGGAGCAGCCACUGGUUGGGUCAGUUUCUCUCAAGACUACUUCAAAUCCUGUCUGAUGGGUUUUGAUGCUCAUGAAACUCUUUUUGUUAACAUUUACAGAAGCUUUUCCGUGAUUGCAGGAGCGCAGUGGUUAAGUGGCAUAGGAAACCUUUCACAUUAAUGAUAAUAACAGAGUGAACCAGGCCUGUAUGAAGAGUCUGGAUGUUUUAGCCAAUACAUAGGGUCUUUUGUUAAACAACACAUCACACCCAGCAGGCCAUGAGGGUUAAUGUAACAUGGAUUCUUGACUGUUCACCUGCAUUACUGGGAAACAACCAGAUAAGAGGUGUCAUACCUCAGUCCAGCCAGAGAGGGCGAUGAAGCCGAGCAUUGUGCUCCAGAGAGGGCUCUGUGUGUAGCUAACAGAGACGUUCAGCGUCACGUUAUAAUGAAAACAUAACAAAUAAACAACAAGCAAGUAUACAUUUGUGUUAACUGUGGGCGCAGCUUGACUUUCAGGUAAGAUAUUAGCCGGUACAACCUUUAAUUUCCGUGCAGGAGAGGCCACAAAUCCCCGGCCAUGUCAACCAGCCUCAUGACAGCCAGGCGAUCCUCUCUGAUAACCUUUAAAAGCUCUACAUUUAACUGCUCUGGUGGUGUUUACACUUACAGAAAUCACUAGAAAAAAUCUGUAUUUAUCUGAUUAAAUCAAUUCUGGCCCCAUUAAGCGCCCCAUUGACUGUUUUAUAGUUUAAUAUAGACACAACUUACCUCGUAGUGCUUCAUCUCUGCAGUGUGCACCCUCCUUCCUUAAUAUCCAAGAUGAGUGACAGCUCCUCGUCCAAUCAGAGGACUGCUGAGCCAUCUGUGGGCGGGCCGGACGCCGUGCCGCAGCCAAUCAGAACCGGCGACACUCACGCAAUCACGUCCACGCUAUCAGCGACGUAGCCAAUGAGAUUAGAGCAAACGGAGGGGCCAUAAUUGGAUUUAUCCAUAAAGAGUUAGUGGACGACAGACUGUGUACCACUUCUCUUAAGCUGUGUAGAAAAUAGUUUCUCUAUCUGGUACCUUUUCCAAUUUCUUUUUUUGCAGUCUCUUUUUCAAUGUUUAUGCUAUUAUAUUAUUUAUUUGUCCCCACCAUUGCACAUUAUGUAAUCUCUUUAUUUGUUGUAUCUUGUUUGAAUGCAUUUCUGUGUACAUUGUGUUUUCCUUAGUCUAUAAAUUGUCCUACAUAAAUAAAGAUUUCCAUUUUU